rnacentral:rRNA from 1 species
GUUAAAAAGCUCGUAGUUGGAUUUCUGUUGAGGUUGACCGGUGUACACUCCGUGUAUUAUUCGGUUCGGUCUCGGCAUCCUCUUGGGGAACGUUUCUGGACUUUAUUGGACAGGGCGAGAUUCAAGACUUUUACUUUGAGGAAAUUAGAGUGUUCACGGCAAGCAAGUGCUUUGAAUACAUUAGCAUGGAAUAAUAAUAUAGGACCUUCGUUCUAUUUUGUUGGUUCCUAGAACUUAGGUAAUGAUUAAUAGGGACAAUUGGGGGCAUUCGUAUUAACGCGUCAGAGGUGGAAUUCUUGGAUUGCGUUACGACGAACUACUGCGAAAGCAUUUGCCAAAGAUGUUUUCAUUGAUCAAGAACGAAAGUAUGGGGAUCGAAGACGCUUAGAUACCGUCGUAGUCUAUACCAUAAACUAUGCCAACUAGAGAUUGGAGGGGUUCUCCUAUGUGGCUCCUUCAGCAUCUUAUGAGAAAUCAAAGUUUUUGGGUUCCGGGGGGAGUAUGGUCGCAAGGCUGAAACUUAAAGGAAUUGACGGAAGGGCACCACCAGGAGUGGAGCCUGCGGCUUAAUUUGACUCAACACGGGAAAACUUACCAGGUCCAGACAUAGUAAGGAUUGACAGAUUGAUAGCUCUUUCUUGAU